rnacentral:lncRNA from 1 species
GCCAUGAGCAACCAGUCAGGGCGGGGGAAGUGUGCAGCGCAGGGCAGGAGGCCGGGAUGGCAGAGGCUCCGCAAGCUCCGAGCGGUGAAGGCGCAUACAGAGAAUCACAGGCAGAGUCACCAACCGUGAUGUCUUACAACACCCACAAAUUCUUGGACACUAUAGCCACCAGAGUGGAGUCUACGUUCAUCCCUUGAACAUGAGCUGGCCUGUGGUGCCUUACUUCUAACCAACACAAGGCAGACCAAGGGACACUUGCGUGACGGCUGAUGCUGGGUCA